ACGUCACCUCCGCCUAAUCCGGCCGGCGGCCGGAACCGGGGACCCACCAGCAGUAAUUGGGGUGAAUCGGGACAGACGCCCGCAAGCGUCCGUACCGUAGGGCAGCCUUCCCAGCCCGAACCCGUCAGCUAACCCGGUCGGCGGUCCACGGAAGGAGUC
rnacentral:sRNA from 2 species